rnacentral:SRP_RNA from 1 species
GCCAGGCAUGGUGGUGCAUGCCUGUAGCCCCAGCUACUUGGGAGGCUGAGGUGGGAGGAUUGCUUGAGCCCCAGGAGGUUGAGACUGCAGUGAGCUGUGAUUGUGCCACUGCACUCCAGCCUGGGCAACAGAGCAAGACCUUAUCUCCG